UACAGAGUUCUCAAGCGUUGUUCGGAUUCAUUGGGCGUAAAGGGUGCGUAGGCGGCGGGGCAAGUCAGGUGUGAAAUCUCGGGGCUCAACCCCGAAACUGCACUUGAUACUGCCUUGCUAGAGCUCUGGAGAGGAGAUUGGAAUUUACGGUGUAGCAGUGAAAUGCGUAGAUAUCGUAAGGAAGACCAGUGGCGAAGGCGAAUCUCUGGACAGCAGCUGACGCUGAGGCACGAAGGCCAGGGGAGCAAACGGG
rnacentral:rRNA from 1 species